rnacentral:rRNA from 1 species
UACGAAGGGAGCUAGCGUUGUUCGGAAUCACUGGGCGUAAAGCGCACGUAGGCGGACGUGUCAGUCAGGGGUGAAAUCCCGGAGCUCAACUUCGGAACUGCCUUUGAUACAGCACGUCUUGAGUCCGGAAGAGGUGGGUGGAAUUCCUAGUGUAGAGGUGAAAUUCGUAGAUAUUAGGAAGAACACCGGUGGCGAAGGCGGCCCACUGGUCCGGUACUGACGCUGAGGUGC